UACUAGAGUAGCACUCGCAUAUCAAUAAGCGGAGGAAAAGAAACUAACAAGGAUUCCCCUAGUAACGGCGAGUGAAGCGGGAAGAGCUCAAAUUUGAAAUCUUAAAGGGUUUCCCUUUACGAAUUGUAGUUUAAAGAAGUGUUUUCUGUUGAGGUUUUGGUAAAAGUUCUUUGGAAUAGGACAUCAUAGAGGGUGAGAAUCCCGUAUUUGACCUUUACUUUCAACUUUGUGAUACACUUUCAAAGAGUCGGAUUGUUUGGGAAUGCAGUCCAAAAUGGGUGGUAAAUUUCAUCUAAAGCUAAAUAUUGGCGAGAGACCGAUAGCGAACAAGUACCGUGAGGGAAAGAUGAAAAGAACUUUGAAAAGAGAGUUAAACAGUACGUGAAAUUGUCAAAAGGGAAGCGUUCGACACCAGUGUUGUUUUUCUGAAAAUCAAUUAAAGAACUGUUUAUGCUAAGCUGUUUAGACUUUAUCAGCUAUCUGUUUAGUUUUGAGCUUUUCUUUAAUGCACUUUUCAGUUAACAAGUCAACAUCAAUUUCUUUUGCUGUAAAAAAGCUUGAGGAAGGUGGCUUGAGAUUCGUCUUAAGUGUUUAUAGCCUCUUGCCUAUGCAGUCGGAGAGAUUGAGGUCUGCAGCGUAGAUCCUUCGGGGCUAAAUGCAUUUGUGCUAAGUUAUAGCAUUUUAUAGACAACUUGUUGACUAUGAUUUGUCUUGUAGCUUACUCGCUUAUGUUAUUUUACCUACGCUUAGGAUGUUGAACUCUAUCACACACAG
rnacentral:rRNA from 1 species